rnacentral:misc_RNA from 1 species
GCAAACUUGGUCAUUUAGAGGAAGUAAAAGUCUUAACAAGGUUUCCGUAGGUGAACCUGCGGAAGGAUCAUUACAAUGUACCGGCCGCAAGGCCACGCUGGCGAUGCGGAGCCCCUCAGGGCACCCCUCAACAGUAUACCCUCUGUGAAAACUCCCUGUUGCUUCGGCAGCUCCCCCGUCCGCGGGUGGGUAAGCCUGCCGGCGGCACCUCAAAAACCCUUUGCAAGAAGCAGUCUGAACGAAAAGUCGAAUGACUAUUAAAACUUUCAACAACGGAUCUCUUGGUUCCCGCAUCGAUGAAGAACGCAGC